UACGAAGGGUGCAAGCGUUAAUCGGAAUUACUGGGCGUAAAGGGCGCGUAGGCGGUUCGUUAAGUCUGUCGUGAAAUCCCCGGGCUCAACCUGGGAAUGGCGAUGGAUACUGGCGAGCUAGAGUGUGUCAGAGGAUGGUGGAAUUCCCGGUGUAGCGGUGAAAUGCGUAGAGAUCGGGAGGAACAUCAGUGGCGAAGGCGGCCAUCUGGGACAACACUGACGCUGAAGCGCGAAAGCGUGGGGAGCAAACAGG
rnacentral:rRNA from 1 species